rnacentral:rRNA from 1 species
CAGCCGCCGCGGUAAUACGUAGGUGGCAAGCGUUGUCCGGAAUUAUUGGGCGUAAAGCGCGCGCAGGUGGUUUAAUAAGUCUGAUGUGAAAGCCCACGGCUCAACCGUGGAGGGUCAUUGGAAACUGUUAAACUUGAGUGCAGGAGAGAAAAGUGGAAUUCCUAGUGUAGCGGUGAAAUGCGUAGAGACUAGGAGGAACACCAAUGGCGAAGGCGGCUUUUUGGCCUGUAACUGACACUGAGGCGCGAAAGCGUGGGGAGCAAACAGGAUUAGAUACCCGGGUAGUCCCUGUCUCUUAUAC